AGGACGAACGCUGGCGGCGUGCUUAACACAUGCAAGUCGAACGAGGCUGAUCCAAGUCGCAAGACUUGGUGACUGCCGAGUGGCGAACGGGUGAGUAACACGUGAGCAACCUGCCCCGAAGACCGGGAUAACAGCGGGAAACCGCUGCUAAUACCGGAUGUCCCCAUCGGACCACAUGGCCUGAUGAGGAAAUGGAUUCCGCUUCGGGAGGGACUCGCGGCCUAUCAGCUUGUUGGUGAGGUAACGGCCCACCAAGGCGACGACGGGUAGCUGGUCUGAGAGGACGAUCAGCCACACUGGGACUGAGACACGGCCCAGACUCCUACGGGAGGCAGCAGUGAGGAAUUUUCCGCAAUGGGCGAAAGCCUGACGGAGCGACGCCGCGUGCACGAGGAAGGUCUUCGGAUCGUAAAGUGCUGUCGAGGGGGACGAUUAUGACGGUACCCUGGAGGAAGCCCCGGCUAACUACGUGCCAGCAGCCGC
rnacentral:rRNA from 1 species